CAGGCCUGCUGUGAAGAUACGGUGGCUCAAAGGGGAAAUGGCUUCACUCGGCAGUCAGGGGCCUCCGAACAAGAUGUUAUCUUACAGUGUGAGAAUGAGAGAAGGCAGGAAGAGAUGUGAUGCUGUGGACUUUCCUCAUCAUAGGCCACCAACCUACAAUACUCACCACAAGCCUUCAUUGAGGAUCUGAGCUCCUAGACGUCCGUUGAGGGUGGAAGAAUUUGGCAUUGCUAGAAGUCUCAAAAAAGCAUGUCGGCUUUUCAGAAGUGAUGAUUUCAAGAUCUGCCAAUUCAUUCUUAUCUGGGCCAAGAAUGGAUGUUUGAUAUCUGGAUAUCUUUUACUUGAGGUACACUGUGUUGCUUGGAGUUACAGCAUAUCUGAUUACUGGUGUUAAUGACAGCCUUGAAACUGAUGUUCUGAUACAUCUUUAAAUAGAAAUAAAAGCUGUCCAGUAUUUUAUAAUCCUGUAUAGCAUUGCACUACACUUGCUGUUUAGAAGGAAAGUGAUUCACUUAAAAGGCUACAGUGAAUGUU